GGCUCGGUAGCGUCUGGGACGCCUCUGCGUAGAAUUGAGACGCGGAAUAUUUCUGCAGACUGCCCGUUCGAUUCGGGCCCGAGCCA